rnacentral:miRNA from 1 species
UGGCCCUCCUGUUGCUGCUG